rnacentral:lncRNA from 1 species
GAGAAAGCUCGGAAUAAACCUGCAUCAGGGAGAGGGGGAUCAGGCCCUGGAGGCCACUUAGUUGCCCCCUUUGUCUCCACACCCGUGUGGAGGAUCAACAAGAGACCAGAGCUGGCAGCGUCCAAGAUUGCUUUAGUCUCUGCCUCCUCCAUCAGACUCUCUCCUCGCCCUCAGUUUCGGUCAGGAAUUUUUUCUCCCUCUUCAGUGCAGGGCUACUACAGCUUCACCCUCCCUCAUCACGCGACAUGCCCUGCAGGGAGGCCAUCCCUUCCCUGCCAGGCCACCCCACCCCCACCCCUGCAUGCCUGCCCUGGCCUUGGGCUGCCGCUCGCCACUCACCGUCUCGGCGUACACUGCCAUGUCACCCUGGCAGAGAAGCUGCAGGUCCUUGCUGUCUGUGACAUUGCCAAGCCACAUGCAGACCCGGAGGUGAGCUGGGAGCACAUCCUUCUGUCCUUCACCCUCUGGGUACUGAGUCAGAGGCCGAUCGGUCCCAUAGGGGCACUAAACACCCUGAACGCCACCCCAGCCACCCCCCAAGUGGGCUGUACCUGCCCCUUCCCCCCGAGCCCUGGGAGCGGGGCCCUCACUGAGCUGAGUGCUGGAGCCGUAAGUGAAUGGCAUGGAGUUCUGUUCUGCCCUCCAGAGCAGGGUGGCUCCACCUUGGCAGCCAUGAAGCAGAGAGGCUGGGAGUGCCUCGCAGAGGGAGUAGCAGGGACGUUGAUAAUGGGACUGACGGACACGCCUUGUGAGUUUGUUAUGGGCCGGCACUGUGCCAGCUGCCCCGUGUGCAUCGUAGGCCUGGAUCCUCACAGCCCACCACGAGGAGGGCAUGGUGAUUGCCAGAGCCAUUCUACAGAGCAGCACACUGAGGGCUGGACAUGGUCAGGAGUUGGCGUAGGGCCACACAGAGCCAGGAUUCAUGUCUCAGGGGUUCUUGCAGGAUGCAAAGGACUCUGGUGGGCAUGGAAGGAGCUUUGCACAUUGGUGGAGAGGGCAAAGGGCAGGUACAGUUGGGGCCAGGGAAAGCCUAGAGUGUCCUUACUGUUGGGAGUAUGGGCUAGAGAGAAUGGAUGCAGGCACAGGGGCCAGGCCACAAGGCGGCACCUUCUCCAGGAGGCAGUGGGGAGCCAGGGAGUCUCUGAUGGGGGGAGGGAGUGGCCCCCACGUCCCCCCGGGAGGAUCAGAAGCAGGGAGGCCACUGUCACGACCAGGAGUGAGGGUGGUCACUCUUAUUUAUAG